rnacentral:lncRNA from 1 species
GAAAGAGGAAGAACCGAAAGGUCUCUUUCGAUUUUGGCCCUUUUCGCCGGGAUUUCGGCUUUUCUAACCCUAGAUCUGGACCCUAUUCGCAAAAAGGAGAAAAAGGGAGCUUUUUUUGGUUUUCCGGCCACCGCGAACGGCGGCGUCGUCGCCGGCGUCCGGCGACCGGUGCGGUGGUCGAUGGCCGGCAAAGGGGGCUCUUCCUCUCUUUUUACGGACACAAGAACAAUAAAAACAUAAACUUUGAAUCGGAGAAGUAAUUUUCGUUUCUUUAUUUUUGUGUGUUUUUACAUCUAGUUUGAUUUCUUUCUACUUACGAAAAUAAAAACAAAAGAAAUAAGGAGAGGAGAAACUCACCGGAGUUGGCCGUGACCGUGCCGCCGGGGUUUUUCUUCCAUCGUCGGCCGUCGGUCUUGGUGGCGUGGUGGCACUCAAGGUGUUAAGAAACCCAAGUGUUGGGUGUUUAAAAAUGGUGGUUUGAAAAAAACAGAGCCUUUUUCCUCUAGCAAAUUCAAAAAGUGAAAGAAUAAAAAUAUAAAACAUUUUUUGUCU